GCGGGGGUGCCGGAGUGGUCAAACGGGACAGGUUCAGGGCCUGUUGGCUUAGUGCCUACGAGGGUUCGAACCCCUUCCCCCGCA
rnacentral:tRNA from 1 species